ACCAGAAUCAUUUGGAGAACUUAUUAAAACUCACAUUGCUGAAUCCCACCCCCAGAAUUUCUGGCUCAGUAGGUCCGGAGUAGGAACCAAGAAUUUGCAUUUCUAACAAGUUCCCAGAUGAUGAAGCU
rnacentral:miRNA from 1 species